AUCCGGGCGGCAGAAUUCAGAAUCGACGGGCGCAAGUUCGUCUAUUUGAUAUUUCUGUCGCCGUACAACCACGGACGUCGCGACCCGUUCGAUGUCGGUCCUCGCCUUCGGGAGGAACCGCGUUCGAGUUCGCCGUUGGAGCGCGCGUUCGCGUGCGUUUCGGUCGGCGAAGGCGCGGAUUUCUGGCCGACUUGUCGGACGGUAUGUCAACGGGGGUGUCCGGCGUCGUGUUUUGAUGGCGCGGCGUCGGUGCCGGUCAGCGACGAAUCUUCGGGUCUCUUUCCGACCCGUCUUGAAACACGGACCAAGGAGUCUAACGUGCGCGCGAGUCGCGGGGUGUCGAGCGUGCCGGGCUUGCCCGGUGCGUUCGUUACGCAACGAAACCCGUAUACGUAGAAGGCGUAAUGAAAGUGAACGGGGAAGAUGGCGUUACCGAGUACACGUUCCACGGUCGCUGGUACCGAGGCCGGUCGCCCGCAUUCCCGGGGCGUCCCAACGGUCCGUCCAUGAUGCGGAUGGUCGUCGCGAGAUGGCCGUCGGUCGCCGGACGAACCGGGGCGCACCUAUAGCGUGCACGUUGGUACCCGAAAGAUGGUGAACUAUGCCCGGCCAGGAUGAAGUCAGGGGAAACCCUGAUGGAGGUCCGCAGCGAUUCUGACGUGCAAAUCGAUCGUCUGAGC
rnacentral:rRNA from 1 species